AGCAGUCGCCGCGGUAAAACGGAGGGAGCUAGCGUUGUUCGGAAUCACUGGGCGUAAAGCGCACGUAGGCGGCUAUUCAAGUCUGGGGUGAAAGCCCGGGGCUCAACCCCGGAACUGCCUUUGAAACUAGAUAGCUCGAAUCUUGGAGAGGCGAGUGGAAUUCCGAGUGUAGAGGUGAAAUUCGUAGAUAUUCGGAAGAACACCAGUGGCGAAGGCGACUCGCUGGACAAGUAUUGACGCUGAGGUGCGAAAGCGUGGGGAGCAAACAGGAUUAGAUACCCCCGUAGUCCCUGUCUCUUAUAA
rnacentral:rRNA from 1 species